AACCGACUAUCGUUGAAAAGUUAGCGGAUGACCUGUGGAUCGGAGUGAAAGGCUAAUCAAGCUCGGAGAUAGCUGGUUCUCCUCGAAAGCUAUUUAGGUAGCGCCUCAUGUAUCACUGUAGGGGGUAGAGCACUGUUUCGGCUAGGGGGUCAUCCCGACUUACCAAACCGAUGCAAACUCCGAAUACCAAUGAGUACUAUCCGGGAGACAGACUGCGGGUGCUAACGUCCGUAGUCAAGAGGAAAACAAUCCAGACCGCCAGCUAAGGCCCCAAAA
rnacentral:rRNA from 1 species